UUCUUAUCGUGAGAGGUGGAGGGACUGGCCCUUUGAAACCUCAGCAACCGGUUUGCUUUGCCAAGAAAGGCGAAGUGCCAAGGUGCUAAAUCCAGCAAGCGAUUUUUGUGCUUGGAAGAUAAGAG
rnacentral:ncRNA from 2 species